rnacentral:rRNA from 1 species
UACUCGAGUGGCGAACGGGUGAGUAACACGUGGGUGAUCUGCCCUGCACUUCGGGAUAAGCUUGGGAAACUGGGUCUAAUACCGGAUAGGAACCAUCUUUAGUGUGGUGGUUGGAAAGUUUUUUCGGUGUAGGAUGAGCUCGCGGCCUAUCAGCUUGUUGGUGGGGUAAUGGCCUACCAAGGCGGCGACGGGUAGCCGGCCUGAGAGGGUGUACGGCCACAUUGGGACUGAGACACGGCCCAG